rnacentral:misc_RNA from 1 species
GAUGAAGAACGUAGCGAAAUGCGAUACGUAGUGUGAAUUGCAAAUUCAGUGAAUCAUCGAGUCUUUGAACGCACAUUGCGCCCCCUGGUAUUCCGGGGGGCAUGCCUGUCCGAGCGUCAUUGCUGCCCUCAAGCACGGCUUGUGUGUUGGGCCCCGUCCUCCGAUCCCGGGGGACGGGCCCGAAAGGCAGCGGCGGCACCGCGUCCGGUCCUCGAGCGUAUGGGGCUUUGUCACCCGCUCUGUAGGCCCGGCCGGCGCUUGCCGAUCAACCCAAAUUUUUAUCCAGGUUGACCUCGGAUCAGGUAGGGAUACCCGCUGAACUUAAGCAUAUCAAUAAGCGGAGGA